AAAGAGGCUACCACUAGCUAAGAGCAACUACCUGAUGGGGUGUUGAGCCUUGGAGGAGCUGCCUUCGUCGUCCGGAACCUAGCAGGGGCAAGGCUGGGCUGCUUAGAAGCACCUGAGGACCGAUCCAGAGGAAGGAGGGCCCGUGACCACCCAUCUGCCUGAGCCACAGACCUCACCUGCUGGGCCAGCUUCCGGGUAGCUGAGUGGAGCCCCCUGGCCUGACUUGGACCCCCUCUGGAGAACUGACUCAGGAAGAUCCCAGGAUGGCUGCCUCGCGGGGCAACCUGAAUAUGGUGGGAGAGAAACAGAACUUGACAACGGAUGACUGCUUCCAUUCUCGGAACACCGUUCUGCAGGGACAGCCUUUUGGGGGGAUCCCCACCGUGCUGUUCCUCAACAUCAUCUUGUGGGUGGUCAUCAUUUUAGUUUAUUCCUUCCUCCGGAAAGCUGCGUGGGACUACGGGCGCCUGGCUCUGCUGAUUCACAAUGACAGCCUGACUUCACUGAUCUAUGGGGAGCAGAGUGAGAAGACGUCUCCCUCGGAUAUUUCCCUGGAGAUGGAGCACAAAGACAAGGGCUUCUAUUCCUGGUUCUUCAACACCAUCACCAUGAAGAACGAGGAUCUAAUUAGCAAGUGUGGAGACGAUGCCCGCAUCUACAUCAUGUUCCAGUAUCAUCUCAUCAUCUUUGUGCUCAUCCUCUGCAUCCCCUCCUUGGGCAUCAUCUUGCCCAUCAACUACACGGGAACUGUUCUGGAUUGGAGUAGUCACUUCGGUCGGACCACCAUUGUCAAUGUCUCCAUAGAGAGUAAGGUCCUGUGGCUGCAUAGCUGCUUCUCCUUCCUCUAUUUCAUCAUUAACCUCAUGUUCAUGGCUCAUCACUGUUUAGGGUUUGUGCCCAAGAAGAGCUACAAGGUUACCAGGACACUAAUGAUCACCUACGUCCCCACAGACAUCCAAGACCCAGAAAUCAUCAUUAAGCAUUUUCAUGAGGCCUAUCCAGGAUGCGUAGUGACCAGAGUGCACUUCUGCUAUGACGUCAGGACCCUGAUCGAUUUGGAUGAUCAGAGGCGCCAUGCGAUGCGGGGCCGGCUCUACUACACUGCCAAGGCCAAGAAGAAUGGGAAGGUGAUGAUCAAGAUCCACCCCUGUUCCCGCCUGUGCUUUUGCAGUUGCUGGACCUGCUUCAAAGAGGUAGAUGCAGAACAAUAUUAUAGCGAACUGGAGGAGCAGCUGACUGAUGAGUUCAAUGCUGAGUUCAACCGCGUUCGGCUGAAGCGUCUGGACCUGAUCUUUGUCACCUUCCAGGACGCCAGGAUGACGAAGCACAUCCAGCAAGAUUACAAGUACAUCCAGUGUGGCGUGCCCCCCCAGCAGUCCUCGGUGUCCACCAUCGUCAAAUCCUACCACUGGAGGAUUGCCCUUGCCCCACACCCUAAAGACAUUAUUUGGAAACACCUGUCCGUCCGCCGCUUCCAGUGGUGGGCCCGCUUUAUCGCAAUCAACACCUUCCUCUUCUUCCUCUUCUUCUUCCUCACCACGCCUGCCAUCAUCAUCAACACCAUCGACAUGUACAACGUCACCCGCCCCAUUGAGAACCUGCAGAACCCGGUCAUAACCCAGUUCUUCCCCUCCCUGAUGCUCUGGGCAUUUACAGUGAUAAUGCCCCUGAUGGUCUACUUCUCUGCCUUCCUAGAGGCCCACUGGACCAGAUCAAGUCAGAAUCUGAUCAUAGUAAACAAGUGCUACAUCUUUCUGGUGUUCAUGGUGGUUAUUCUGCCCUCUAUGGGACUGACCAGUUUGGAUGUCUUUUUCCGCUGGCUCUUUGACAUCUACUAUCUGGAGCAGGCAUCCAUCCGGUUCCAGUGUGUGUUCCUGCCAGACAAUGGCGCCUUCUUCGUCAACUACGUGAUCACGUCAGCUUUGCUUGGGACAGGCAUGGAGCUGUUGCGCCUGGGGUCCCUCUUCCUGUACAGCAUCCGCCUCUUCUUCUCCAGGUCGGAGCCAGAGAGAGUCCACAUCAGAAAGAGCCAGGCCAUGGACUUCCAGUACGGGCGCGAGUACGCGUGGAUGAUGAACGUCUUCAGCGUGGUGGUCGCCUACAGCAUCACCUGCCCUAUCAUUGUCCCUUUUGGCCUGCUGUACCUGUGCAUGAAGCACGUCACGGACCGCUAUAACAUGUACUACUCCUACGCGCCCACCAAACUCAACGAGCAGAUCCACAUGGCUGCUGUCUACCAGGCCAUUUUCGCGCCACUCCUGGGUCUCUUCUGGAUACUCUUCUUCUCCAUCCUGCGAUUAGGUCCGCUCCACAGCGUCACUUUCUUCUCCCUGUCCACGCUCAUUAUCUCCAUGGUAAUUGCCUUCCUCAGCACUCUUCUGGGGAAGCUGCGGACGGUGUCUGACUAUGAGCCCGAGGAGGAGAUGGAGACCGUGUUUGACAUGGAGCCAAGCAGCACCUCCUCCACACCCACCUCCCUUGUCAAACUGCUGCCGUGGUCCUGGCUGAAGAGCUGGGAAGAGAGAAGAACCACGACAUUCCCUCAAAGGAUCUCAAAGAGGAAGAGAAAGGUCAGGGAGAAUCCAGCCACAGCGAGCUCAGUCAUGUAGACGCAGGGACGUGCUGGGGCUCGGCCUCAGGACCGAAGGCUGCCUCCCAGGGUACAGAUGCCAGGCAGAGCCGCGCAGACAGAGCUGCACUGAAUGCUGUACGUGGCUACUGUGCUGCAGGAGCCGGAGAUGAACCUGUCCCCGGCCUCCUCCCCUGCUC